rnacentral:rRNA from 1 species
AGUGAACGCUGGCGGUAGGCCUAACACAUGCAAGUCGAACGGCAGCACAGUAAGAGCUUGCUCUUACGGGUGGCGAGUGGCGGACGGGUGAGGAAUACAUCAGAAUCUACUUUUUCGUGGGGGAUAACGUAGGGAAACUUACGCUAAUACCGCAUACGACCUACGGGUGAAAGCAGGGGAUCUUCGGACCUUGCGCGAUUGAAUGAGCCGAUGUCGGAUUAGCUAGUUGGCGGGGUAAAGGCCCACCAAGGCGACGAUCCGUAGCUGGUCUGAGAGGAUGAUCAGCCACACUGGAACUGAGACACGGUCCAGACUCCUACGGGAGGCAGCAGUGGGGAAUAUUGGACAAUGGGCGCAAGCCUUAUCCAGCCAUACCGCGUGGGUGAAGAAGGCCUUCGGGUUGUAAAGCCCUUUUGUUGGGAAAGAAAAGCAGCAGGUUAAUACCCCGCUGUUCUGACGGUACCCAAAGAAUAAGCACCGGCUAACUUCGUG